CAGAAACAAUAAGUAUAAAUGUGCAUUCAAACAGACUAUAUGUUAAGUAAACAAAAUCACUUUUGAAAAAAGUAAAAUAUCUUAACCUAAAAAUUAGCCUGCUGGCAGCAAGUGAUUCUGCCUUUGUGACCAGUGCAGACCAAGAUCAACCUGCAUAUCCAUGCAGGCUCAUCUCGGUCUGCACUGUUCGCUAUUCAGUCAGUAAAUUUUCAAGAACACCCCUUCAAAUAAUAAAUGGUAUUGCCCAAAUUGAAUGAUGGACCAGUCCAUUUUAGAAAUUUAGCAGGGUAAAGGUAAAGUAAGAAUCUGCAUAAGUGUAAAAACUUUCACACCAAACUGUCUACAAUAUAGUGCAUCACAUACUGUAGAUUUGGGUAAUAUUUCACAAAAGUUUUAUUUUCGCAAGUAUUUGCAAACAGAGUAACAAGAGAAUUAAGAAAACACUCAUGAAUAUUAAAAAAAGUUAUCUCCCUUAGUAUAAACAUCUACCAUGCGCUAGUUCAUCAAAGCAUGGAAAAUGAUGUGAAAUUUACAAAGUCUAUAGUGAGCUACGUUUACAACAAUGCAAUGUAAUAAUUGGCAAAUCUAUGCUUAGUUUAUUUAGGUGUUCAGAUCGAGGUGACAACUUAGAUCAUAUGGCGACAUUCCAACUUUUAACCACAAAGAAAGACUGCAGAUUCCCCUCUGGGCAUUAUCAGCAAGCAGGAAGAGGCACUUGGGUAGAAUUACAGGCUUCCGACAAGAGAACUGGAUGGCUUUCUCACAUGAAAUCACAAGUGAAGUUUGAACCCACCAAGGUUUAUUUAAGAAAACAAAUUGACCUUAAAUUAUUCUGUUAGAAGAAAGGAGAAGAAUUGCAUCACAGUCAAUCAAACGAAAAAGAAGUUCUUCUGCCAGUAGAAAAAAGCAGUGAUGUGGAAUUGCGAGAAAUAUACAGUGAAACAACCGGCCGCAAAGGUAGGAAGUACAAAAUUUUAUCCACAGAUAUUCGUGAACAUUUUAACGAAUUUUAUUGCUUUUAUAUUUUAAUACAAUUUGCAAAAAAUUUCAGUAUGUAUAUACCAGAUAUAAUAAAGUCACAUGUACGCAGUUUGUGUAGUUGGAUAAUCGCAGAAAAGUAACCUCCCUUGGAUACUCUUCAAAAAUGCUGGUAAAGUUGUUGGAUUUUGAUGAAAUUUUCGGGCAAAUUUUUGCCACCUAUGUAAAAUGGCGAAAAAUACACGCCAAAAUUAAACCACUACAUUUUGGGCUAAAAGGGCGAAAAUUUGCCAACACGAAAAUAUCCCAAAGUACGGUAACCAUUACAAUGUCAAAAUCUUUAAAACAGAAUAGUGUAUAGUAUUGAUAUCAACAAGAGCUGUCCAUAAGAAAGUGCACUCAACUAUUCAAAAGCAACUGACACUGAUACAUACUUGCAUACUAAAAAUCUAAAUAUAAGUUAAAAAUUAUGAUAUUCUGAAAAAAAGUCAAUCAAGAGUUAUCUAACUUAGUAAUGUGACUAGAAAGCAUUUUCAAUGAAUAUAGUUAUUACAAAGCUAUGGCUUGAUAAACUUUUGAUAAUUUGUCUAACUAAAAAAGACAGUCAGAA